ACGGCUACAUCACGUUAAAAUACCGGUUUACGUACGAUCACCAAAGUUAAGCAAUGUCGUGUCUAGUCAAUACCUAGAUGGGUGACUGCUUGGGAAUACCAGGUGGUGUA